rnacentral:rRNA from 1 species
CUCCGUAGGGUGAACCUGCGGAAGGAUCAUUG